GCAGCACAGAAAGAACGAGACAGUCACGAAAGAACCACAACGUGGACCUUCCUCUGCAGCCUGAGGACUAGGUCACGGUAGGAGUGCUAAGAGCAGAUGGGGCAGGCGUCAGACACUGACACAGGGGACCAGACACUGUCCUCACGUGUGUAGCCGCAGAUGCCCCAGUAGAGCUGGAAUACAGUGGCCUUGGAGAGCAGCCCCAGAAUCCCAACACAAAGAAACUGGCGAAACUCAUAAUGGAAGAGAUGAGGAAAUUUCCAAGAAUGACCUCGAAGAGACACCAUGUUGCCCAGAAACCAGAAGUCUCAGAGUUCAUAAGUGACGCCUUCACCUUGUGAACAUUUUUAGAUGAGCCUGAGUGAGCAGAGCCAUCACCCCAACUGACAGCUCACUGACCCCACAAGCGGGCCCAGUGAGAGCAGAACACCAAAACUGCCGACCUGCAGCCCUGAGAGCUAAAGAAAUGCUUGUUGUUCCAUAAGCCACUGAGUUGGAAGAUGCUUUGUUUAUUGGCACUGUGGCAACAGAUACCUGAAUCCCAUGGCCGUUCAUACCCAAGCCUAUGCCAGGUCCUCUGACAAAAUGGCACUUCUGGAUCUACAUGGCACCUUCUGCCAUCAUACAGACAUGCCCCUACCCCUGCCAAUCAUGUGAUAAAACUGCCUGGAAGGGGGUGAUGUCCAGGUUCUGCAGGCAUUUUCCAUCCUCCCUCCAUCAACUGCCCAAAGACCUAUGAGGCAGGAAUUUUGCUGAUGGGCAAGAAAUGAUGUGGAAAGGGAGGCCUAGGACAUCCCAGGGCCACAUGAUGUCUUGGAGAAUAUCUCACAGUAUCUGUCUGAGGUGGAGCAGCACACAGGAGCUGUGAGGUCACCAGCCCCUGCUGGCCCGCUGUGAAGUACAGGCCAGGAGACAGGCCUGAUCCACCCAAUGGGAUGGCCUGAUGAACAUGGCCAAGGCCAAGGACAAAGCUGGCCAUUGCAGGGCUCCUGGCCCAGAAAGAUUUGGGGAAGGAGGCUCCGUGGCAAGCUGGGAGAAGAGUGGCCCCUCCUGUAGGAUGAGGCUGCAGGAAUAAAGAAAAAGCCAGGCGUGGGGACGGGCUGAGCAUGGAGACCAACUGUGCAUGUUACUAGCAAGCGGGGAGAUGUCCGACUUCCUGGGAUGGCAGGCUCAGAGUGAGCUCUCAGGUCAUCCAACAGGUUGUCCUUCCCUUCUGUGAGACCCACCCCAGUGCUCACUCUAUUUCCCUCUUCCCAACCUCUCUGCUUCCCCCAACACGCAGGAAACAUAAUGCUUCAGAAAAGAAAAUAAUUACAUGGACACACCUGUAAGCAUCUGUAUCUUUUGGCAGGUGGAGAGGUUGAUAUCAUGUGCUGCUAAUUUAAAAAUUAAUGAUUAGAAUUAGUCAUUACUCAUUGGGGAAAUUCUAAUCAAAACUACAAUGAGGUAUCACUUCGCACCUGUCAGAAUGGCUGUUAUCAAAAAAGAAGAAACGAUAAGUUUUGGCGAAGAAGCAGAGGAAUUGGAACCUUUGCACACUGUUGGUGGGAAUGUAGAAUGUUGCAGCCACUAUGGAAAACAAUGUGGAGUUUCCUUAAAAAAUUAAAAAUAAAACUACCACAUGAUCCAGCAAUCCCACUUCUAG
rnacentral:lncRNA from 1 species